UUUAUGGAGAGUUUGAUCCUGGCUCAGGAUGAACGCUGGCGGCGUGCCUAAUACAUGCAAGUCGAGCGAACGGACGAGAAGCUUGCUUCUCUGAUGUUAGCGGCGGACGGGUGAGUAACACGUGGAUAACCUACCUAUAAGACUGGGAUAACUUCGGGAAACCGGAGCUAAUACCGGAUAAUAUUUUGAACCGCAUGGUUCAAAAGUGAAAGACGGUCUUGCUGUCACUUAUAGAUGGAUCCGCGCUGCAUUAGCUAGUUGGUAAGGUAACGGCUUACCAAGGCAACGAUGCAUAGCCGACCUGAGAGGGUGAUCGGCCACACUGGAACUGAGACACGGUCCAGACUCCUACGGGAGGCAGCAGUAGGGAAUCUUCCGCAAUGGGCGAAAGCCUGACGGAGCAACGCCGCGUGAGUGAUGAAGGUCUUCGGAUCGUAA
rnacentral:rRNA from 1 species